rnacentral:rRNA from 1 species
GAUGAACGCUGGCGGCGUGCUUAACACAUGCAAGUCGAACGGGAUCCAAGGGGUGCUUGCACUUUUUGGUGAGAGUGGCGAACGGGUGAGUAACACGUGAGUAACCUGUCCUUUUCUUUGGGAUAAGCAUUCGAAAGGGUGUUUAAUACCUUAUGUUCUGUCUGCCUCGCAUGGGGUGGGUGGGAAAGGCUUUGGCCGGAUUUGGGUGGGCUCGCGGUCUAUCAGCUUGUUGGUGGGGUGAUGGCUUACCAAGGCUUUGACGGGUAGCCGGCCUGAGAGGGUGGUCGGUCACAUUGGGACUGAGAUACGGCCCAGACUCCUGCGGGAGGAAGCAGUGGGGGAUAUUGCACAAUGGGCGAAAGCCUGAUGCAGCGACGCCGCGUGGGGGAUGAAGGCCUUCGGGUUGUAAACUUCUUUUGCUCUGAACAAGGCAUGCCAGUGGGUGUGUUGAGUGUAGGGGUUGAUUAGCGCCGGCUAACUACGUG